rnacentral:rRNA from 1 species
GGCCUAACACAUGCAAGUCGAGCGGCAGCACAGAGGAACUUGUUCCUUGGGUGGCGAGCGGCGGACGGGUGAGUAAUGCCUGGGAAAUUGCCCUGAUGUGGGGGAUAACCAUUGGAAACGAUGGCUAAUACCGCAUGAUGCCUACGGGCCAAAGAGGGGGACCUUCGGGCCUCUCGCGUCAGGAUAUGCCCAGGUGGGAUUAGCUAGUUGGUGAGGUAAUGGCUCACCAAGGCGACGAUCCCUAGCUGGUCUGAGAGGAUGAUCAGCCACACUGGAACUGAGACACGGUCCAGACUCCUACGGGAGGCAGCAGUGGGGAAUAUUGCACAAUGGGCGCAAGCCUGAUGCAGCCAUGCCGCGUGUAUGAAGAAGGCCUUCGGGUUGUAAAGUACUUUCAGUCGUGAGGAAGGUUGUAGUGUGAAUAGCACUAUGAUUUGACGUUAGCGACAGAAGAAGCACCGGCUAACUCCGUGCCAGCAGCCGCGGUAAUACGGAGGGUGCGAGCGUUAAUCGGAAUUACUGGGCGUAAAGCGCAUGCAGGUGGUUUGUUAAGUCAGAUGUGAAAGCCCUGGGCUCAACCUAGGAGUUGCAUUUGAAACUGACAAGCUAGAGUACUGUAAAGGGGGGUA